AUGCAAUGAGAUACGUCACGAAUGCUCUCGUCCAAUCAGAACGCAGAGCACACCGGCUGGCGUACACAGAGGCACAUGGGCAGGCGGGACCAGCCAUGUGAGCCGGACGAGUACAAGCACAACAACACGGUGGGUUUUUUUUGGUGCUGUACACAUCUAACAUCUCACAUCUGGAGGAUCCUGCACAACUUCUGUCUUAUCUGGUGGUUGAUGAGGUCAUUGUCAUUUUAACAAGACUACAUACAACUUAAGUCACGUGCCUUAGCUCAAGAGAAAGCCUCUGAAAUACUGAUCCUGAACGUUACCCCCAACCCCCCACCCCGCUGAGACCCCCGUGCACUUCUCCUCCCUCUUAUGAAUAUGGAAACGCUCCCUGCUGCAGUUAAUAGCCAGGAUGUGAAAAAUGGAUUAGAUUCGUGGCCUCCGGCUGAUUCCCGCAGGACUCUGCCGCUAAUCAACAGCGUGAAGCUUCACGGGGGGGGGACAGGGGUGCUUUUCCAUCAGACGGCUCGGAGAAAAAGACGUCGACGGCAGAAACGAUCACGUUCGGAGGAAAUAAAAGAGAUACGCAAAGCGCUGAUAAUCUGAAUUCGAUUCAACAGUCUCAUAUCUUGCCUUGUGAUGUGUUAUUUCUUGUCUUAAAUGCUAACCAGUUGCAAAGCAGCUUAGCAUUGACAAUGUAAUGUAAUGUAAUAAAGAGCUUUUCUUUCCACAGUCGAUCUGAAAAA